rnacentral:misc_RNA from 1 species
GAUGAAGAACGCAGCGAAAUGCGAUAAGUAAUGUGAAUUGCAGAAUUCAGUGAAUCAUCGAAUCUUUGAACGCACAUUGCGCCCGCCAGUAUUCUGGCGGGCAUGCCUGUUCGAGCGUCUUUUUCACCAUCAAGCUCUGCUUGUGUUGGGGUCCUGCGGCUGCCCGCAGGCCCUGAAACCCAGUGGCGGGCUCGCUAGUCACACCGAGCGCAGUAGCACAUCUCGCUCAGGGCGUGCGGCGGGUUCUUGCCGUAAAACAACCCCCCCUUUUCACCAAGGUUGACCUCGGAUCAGGUAGGAAUACCCGCUGAACUUAAGCAUAUCAAUAAGCGGAGGA